rfam:Myotis brandtii contig263772, whole genome shotgun sequence.
CUGUCUCUUGCUCAACAGUGUUUGAACGGAACAG